rnacentral:sRNA from 15 species
GACCUUGCGUCUACAGCCCGAGCGUCAAGCGAAAGGCUGAUGGCUGGUGGCUUUUGCCACCGGCCU